GUUUAAUUUAGCAAUGAAAGCUAUGAACAGUUGGUGAAACUUACGCACAACACAACCAGACGGUGAAGUUUCACACGAAACUGAAGGCGGUUUUGACUAGUGACAACAGUUCGUCGUAGCACUCAUAUUGGUUGAGAUCAGUUCUGUGUGGACGGUGAAGUAUCACACGGAACUAAAGGCGUUUUUGACUAGUGACAACAGUUUGUCGCAGCAUUCAUUUUCAUGUUGACUGAGAUGUUAGCAUCAGAAGGCCCAUCCCGUAUUUUUCCACCCAAUUGUCGUGUGAAAAAUAAAGUUAUAAAAUGUGUCUAUUAAGAAA